rnacentral:pre_miRNA from 1 species
CCCCUCAAUGGCUCAGUAGCUAGUGUAGAUCCUGUCUUUUGUAAUCAGCAGCUACAUCUGGCUACUGGGUCUCUGAUGGCAUCU